AGCGGUCGAUCUUUCAUGGGACGAGGCUGAAGAUGUGGCUGCAAACCGAGCUCGUUGGCGAUCCCUUGCCGCCCAAUGCGCCAUCCGGCGCAGGAGGAACUAAGUCUAAAUGUCCUGUGUGAUGUAGGCAUUGUUGUCACAUGACACUCCCGGGGCCGUGUAAUUAGGCUGGCAGACAGUAAGGAAGAAAGGGGCGUGGUAGCCAGUAGCUAACUGGAUGACAUCUGUCACCAGGGCUGUUGCCAGGAGACCGAAUACAUGAACACCUGAGGGAGAGAGUGUGGCUUUAACUCCUGCAAGCAGCCCAAACACUCAGAAGGACUGGCAGUUAUACGCACCGACGAAUCGCACGGUCCUGCGUAGGAAGGAGUUGA